rnacentral:tRNA from 1 species
GGGGUUAUGGAUCAGUGGUAGAUCGCUUGCCUAGUGCGUGUGAGGCCCUGAGUUUGAUCCUCAGUACCACUU